rfam:Picea glauca, whole genome shotgun sequence.
ACAUGCUUACAACAUAGUGUUAAUGCAUUGGAUCCCAUUAGAACUCUGCAGUUAAGCGUGCUCGAGCUAGAGUAGUAUUAGGAUGGGUGAUCACCUAGGAAGUCCUAGUAUUUUACAUGCC